UGGGGAAUAGGUUAACGGUAGACCCACGGACUCUGACUCCGUUCAGUCCUGGUUCGAAUCCAGUUCCCCCAGCCA
rnacentral:tRNA from 1 species